rnacentral:rRNA from 1 species
GACGAACGCUGGCGGCGUGCCUAAUACAUGCAAGUAGAACGCACAGUUUAUACCGUAGCUUGCUACACCAUAGACUGUGAGUUGCGAACGGGUGAGUAACGCGUAGGUAACCUGCCUGGUAGCGGGGGAUAACUAUUGGAAACGAUAGCUAAUACCGCAUAAUAUUAAUUAUUGCAUGAUAAUUAAUUGAAAGGUGCAAUUGCACCACUACCAGAUGGACCUGCGUUGUAUUAGCUAGUAGGUGAGGUAACGGCUCACCUAGGCGACGAUACAUAGCCGACCUGGGAGGGUGAUCGGCCACACUGGGACUGAGACACGGCCCAGACUCCUACGGGAGGCAGCAGUAGGGAAUCUUCGGCAAUGGACGAAAGUCUGACCGAGCAACGCCGCGUGAGUGAAGAAGGUUUUCGGAUCGUAAAGCUCUGUUGUAAGAGAAGAACGGGUGUGAGAGUGGAAAGUUCACACUGUGACGGUAUCUUACCAGAAAGAGACGGCUAACUACGUG